rnacentral:rRNA from 1 species
UACGUAGGUGGCAAGCGUUGUCCGGAUUUACUGGGCGUAAAGAGCGCGCAGGCGGUCGUUCAAGUCGCGUGUGAAAGCCCCCGGCUCAACUGGGGAGGGUCACGCGAUACUGAUCGACUCGAAGGCAGGAGAGGGAAGUGGAAUUCCCGGUGUAGUGGUGAAAUGCGUAGAUAUCGGGAGGAACACCAGUGGCGAAGGCGGCUUCCUGGCCUGUUCUUGACGCUGAGGCGCGAAAGCUAGGGGAGCAAACGGGG